UACGUAGGGGGCAAGCGUUGUCCGGAAUCAUUGGGCGUAAAGCGCGUGUAGGCGGCCCGGUAAGUCCGCUGUGAAAGUCCAGGGCUCAACCCUGGAAUGCCGGUGGAUACUGUCGGGCUCGAAUCCGGAAGAGGUGAGUGGAAUUCCUGGUGUAGCGGUGAAAUGCGCAGAUAUCAGGAGGAACACCAAUGGCGAAGGCAGCUCACUGGGACGGUAUUGACGCUGAGACGCGAAAGCGUGGGGAGCAAACAGG
rnacentral:rRNA from 1 species